UCAUACCAACCGGGGAGUCAGCGGUGCCCUGUCGCCUGCAAUCCGCUACAGCAGGGGUGGAAUGCCAUGCAGAGGGCAAUGCUUGUGCUGCUGCGAUCCGGAUGCCUUGUUGAUAAACGGGUUCCAGCGCAAUUCGCGACUGUGAAAUAUGUCAGGUGGGGAACCAAGCAGCAUUAAACAGCGUCUGCGGAUGUGCCGCGGGAGUGCCUGUUUUGAGAGGGAUCCCUUUCUUCCGGGUGUAAGUAUUGUUCGAUCUUGGAUGUAUGG
rnacentral:SRP_RNA from 1 species